GGGGGGGGGGGGGGGGGGGGGGGGGGGGUGGGGGGGGGGGGGGGGGGCGGGAAGGGUGCUGCUCGGCUGUGAGCGGCGGACGGGUGGGUAACACGUGGAUCACGUCCCUAUGAGGCUGGGGUAACUUCGGGAAACCGGCGCUCAUACCGGCCAAUAUUUUGAACCGCCUGGUCCGGGAGUGACAAACGGUCUUGCUGUCCCCUCUAGGCUGCUCCGCGCUGCCUUAGCUACGUGGUAAGGUACCGGCUUACCAAGUCAACGAUGCCACGCCGACCUGAGAGGGGGAUCGGCCACACUGGAACGGAGACACGGGCCAGACUCCUACGGGAGGCAGCAGUAGGGAAUCUUCCGCAAUGGGCGAAAGCCUGACGGAGCAACGCCGCGUGAGUGAUGAAGGUCUUCGGAUCGUAAAACGCUGUUAUUAGGGAAGAACAUAGGUGUAAGUAACUGUGCACAUCUUGACGGGACCUAAUCAGAAAGCAACGGCUAACUACGU
rnacentral:rRNA from 1 species